GCCAUGCAUGUCUAAGUAUAAGCAACUAUACUGUGAAACUGCGAAUGGCUCAUUAAAUCAGUUAUAAUUUAUUUGAUAGUACCUUUACUUGGAUAACUGUGGUAAUUCUAGAGCUAAUACAUGCUAAAAACCUCGACUUCGGGAGGGGUGUAUUUAUUAGAUUAAAAACCAAUGCCCUUCGGGGCUCUUUGGUGAUUCAUAAUAACUAAACGAAUCGCAUGGCCUUGCGCCGGCGAUGGUUCAUUCAAAUUUCUGCCCUAUCAACUUUCGAUUGUAGAGUAGUGGUCUACAAUGGUUUCAACGGGUAACGGGGAAUUAGGGUUCUAUUCCGGAGAGGGAGCCUGAGAAACGGCUACCACAUCCAAGGAAGGCAGCAGGCGCGCAAAUUACCCAAUCCCGACACGGGGAGGUAGUGACAAUAAAUACUGAUACAGGGUUCUUUUGGAUCUUGUAAUUGGAAUGAGUACAAUGUAAAUACCUUAACGAGGAACAAUUGGAGGGCAAGUCUGGUGCCAGCAGCCGCGGUAAUUCCAGCUCCAAUAGCGUAUAUUAAAGUUGUUGCAGUUAAAAAGCUCGUAGUUGAACCUUGGAUCUGGCUGAUCUGUCCUCCUAAUCGAGCGCACGGAUUCGGCUGGAUCUUUCCUUCUGGGGAACCCUAUGCCCUUUACUGGGCGUAGUGGGGAACCAG
rnacentral:rRNA from 2 species